CUCUCUCCUUACACACACAGCCAGGCAGAGCGGCCAGGACAGACGCAGGCAGAGCCUUGCCUAGGAGGACCUUGUCCCUGGCUCGCAGUGGCUCUUUGGACUCAGGAGGGCGGGACUGCGCCUGCCUGGGACCUAGGCUGGAAACGCUGGAGCAGGUCUGCGCUGGCAUGGAGGAGCACAGUUCUUGGCCACUUCCUCUGGGCGCCAGGGAAGGCUGCGGAGGUAACGAGAGGAGAGCCGGACAGGCCCCUUCCUGCCUGCGGGACCCGGCAGUCCUGCGUCAGGCGCCAUGGCACGCUACAGACACCGUGAUGGCUUGGGGACCGCCUCCCAGUGGGAUGAUGGGUCCCCGGGUCCCCUCGCCACACAGAUCACCUCUGAAUGCCAGGUGGCAGCAAUCUCACUGUAAAUGCCAUUGUCAUUGUAAACAAUGACAAGUGGCCACGCCAUUCGUGGGCACUCAGCGCUGACACCGCACAUGCUCCACGAGCAACUUGGCUUUUAGCCUUGGGCCGACUCUACCCAGUACGAUGAUCACACUCUCCAGAGCAGGAAACUGAGGCUCAGAGACGGAGGUAAGCUGGACCGAGAUCCGACCUCCGGUCUGGACCCAGACCCUAAGGGGCUCCGCCCACCCCCUCCCCGGGCCUCUCUGGAGCUGUCCCGGUGCUGGGUCACGGGGACGGCACGAAGCACAGGGUCCACAAAUGUCGUUUCCCAUCUCCCAUCGUGAAUCUGGGUUCCUCCAGGACCGCACACGAGAUGAUUUUCCUGGGGGCUCAGGGUCGAAGCUGGGUCUGCAGAGCCCUGUUGACAUCUUGCCCUGUCCCUGAGCUCUGUCCAAACACAGACGCUUUUGUGCCGUGACCUGCCGUUUUCCCAUGGCCCGACCAAGUAUGCUUUCCGCAUCACAUCGUUGACUUUCCCAACAUCCGUGUCUCUCCAGGCACGCUCGUGCAAGUACCUUCCCGAGGCUGACGGGCUUCCCGAGAGAGACUAGCACGCUGCAGGCCGCAGCCCCUCCUCUGAGCCUCUCACCCCUUGGGCCACGACGGCCUGGUGGAGGCUGAAGCCACAGCAGCCGGCCCAGGGCCGUGGUGCACUGGUACCGCCCCGUGACUGACGGGGCCACCAGGAGGCCCAAAACCCUCGUGAAGGUGUCUGUGCAGGUCCCACAGCACCGUCCUGGGUGUGGCCUGAGGCCACCCCAGGAUGACCCCCGCCGCCUCCCCCGGUCCAGCUCCCCGCUGAGGCCUCUGCAGCCACACGGACUGUCGUGGGUCCAGAGCAGCAGAAACGACAC
rnacentral:lncRNA from 1 species